UUUUGCGGAGACUCAGUGCAUAGUGAAUAGAGAAGAACCAGCCAAGGGCUGAAAGUCUCUCUAAUAAAGACAAAUCAAUCAAAUGCAUAGUGGAUCAAAUAAUUAAGGUAAGAAUCGUGUUUUCACAAAAAAAAGUUAUAAGUAGUUUCUGAAAAAUAUAAAUAAAUGGUAUUAAAGUUCUUUUUUUUCUGUUGUUGCAGGUUCAAGAAUAACAAUUACUAAAUGUUAGUAAUGAGGAUGAUAAGCUACCCUAUUCGUCCGGCAAAGCAAUGCCAAAUUUCCGACGAGACCGGAGGUGAGAGUUUUCCAAGAUGGCGUCCUUCAGCCACAUGUGGAGGUUAUGUUUGCUGACUCAUCAAAAAAUUGCAAUGGCGUAUGGGCAUGCGCUCGGCCAUGCUCUGUGAGAAAAAAGUUCCUAACCUCAAACACGCCAACCGGAGCAGUGGAUUCAUAUGAAUUCCAUCACAUUUAUUCUUUUCUCAACGCAAGAUUACCACCAUCGUAAGUUCUUUUUAAGUUCUAUUUCUAUUAUUUUUGCGAAGGCUUGAUGCCACCACUGGAGUUUCUCUAUAUAUUUCUAUUUACAAUUCGUAUCAGACAGAAUAUCAACCACUAUAAUUUCUCUAUAUAUUUCUAUUUACAAUUCGUAUACGGAAGUCAAGAACCACCUCUGUUAUUUCUUUUUAAGUUCUAUUUCUAUUAUUUUUACGAACCAAGAUGAAACAUCAAAGCCACAGUAAUUUCUCAAUAUUUUCUAUUUCCUAUUCGUAUCAGAAAAAAAAUCAACCACUUGAAUUUCUCAAUAUUUUCUAUUUCCUAUUCGUAUGAGAACGAGAUCCAACCACUCGAAUUUCUCAAUAUUUUCUAUUUCCUAUUCGUAUGAGAAUCAACCAACCACUCGAAUUUCUCAAUAUUUUCUAUUUCCUAUUCGUAUGAGAACGAGAUCCAACCACUUGAGUUUCUCAAUAUUUUCUAUUUCCUAUUCGUAUGAGAAUUUUAAAGAUACACCAACUAGACUGUAAUUUCUUUCAAAUUCUAUUUCAAUUUUUUUUCAAAACAGAUUAAGAUCCAACCUUUCUGUGAUUUCUUUCAAAUUCUAUUUCAAUUUUUUUUUACAAACAGUGAAAGAUCCAACCUUUCUGUGAUUUCUUUCAAAUUCUAUUUCAAUUUUUUUUGAACAGAUAAAGAACCAACUUAUCUGCAAUUUCUUUCAAAUUCUAUUUCAAUUUUUUUUGCGGAAAUGUUUAUGUCUAAUACUGCAAAUCGAGGGUUUUGCAUGUAUACAAAUAAAAAAAAAACACAAUGUUGUUCACUCUUUGACAGUCACACGCAAGUUGAAAAAAAAAAAAGAUUUUUCUAGCAAAAUGAGACAUACGACUUACAAUUUGCAAAUUGAUUGAAAUUAUCAGUUCUGCUUAGCAGUCGUCAUCAUAUGACCAAAGGUCGCAUGAGUGCGGAAAGUUGUAGAAAAGUUUUUAGAAGAAGUCGUCAUCAUAUGACCAAAGGUCGCAUGAGUGCGUAAAAUUAAAAAAAAAAAAGUUUCUCAUAGAAGUCGUCAUCAUAUGACCAAAGGUCGCAUGAGUGCGUAAAAUUGAAAAAUAAA